AGUGAACGCUGGCGGUAGGCCUAACACAUGCAAGUCGAACGGCAGCACAGUAAGAGCUUGCUCUUACGGGUGGCGAGUGGCGGACGGGUGAGGAAUACAUCGUAAUCUACUUUUUCUUGGGGGAUAACGUAGGGAAACUUACGCUAAUACCGCAUACUACCUACGGGUGAAAGCAGGGGAUAUUCGGACCUUUCGCGAUUGAAUGAGCCGAUUUCGGAUUAGCUAGUUGGCGGGGUAAAGGCCCACCAAGGCGACGAUCCGUAGCUGGUCUGAGAGGAUGAUCAGCCACACUGGAACUGAGACACGGUCCAGACUCCUACGGGAGGCAGCAGUGGGGAAUAUUGGACAAUGGGCGCAAGCCUGAUCCAGCCAUACCGCGUGGGUGAAGAAGGCCUUCGGGUUGUAAAGCCCUUUUGUUGGGAAAGAAAAGCAGCAGGUUAAUACCCCGCUGUUCUGACGGUACCCAAAGAAUAAGCACCGGCUAACUUCGUG
rnacentral:rRNA from 1 species